rnacentral:rRNA from 1 species
UACGGAGGGUGCAAGCGUUGUCCGGAAUCACUGGGCGUAAAGGGCGCGUAGGCGGCUCAUUAAGUCUGUGGUGAAAGUCCGGGGCUCAACCUCGGAUCGGCCGUGGCGACUCGUGGGCUGGAGCACUGUAGAGGCGGGUGGAAUUGCGGGUGUAGCGGUGGAAUGCGUAGAGAUCCGGAAGAACACCAGUGGCGAAGGCGGCCCGCUGGGCAGUGGCUGACGCUGAGGCGCGAAAGCGUGGGGAGCAAACAGG